UCUCGAUAGCGUAAAAGUUAACUUAAAUUUGUAUGGAGUUGAAACGUUUGCCUAUGUUUUCCGCCAGGGGCGCUGUUCCAACUGCAUACAAAUUGGAGUUAACUUUUACGCUAUCGA
rnacentral:pre_miRNA from 9 species